rnacentral:rRNA from 1 species
UACGAAGGGGGCUAGCGUUGCUCGGAAUGACUGGGCGUAAAGGGCGCGUAGGCGGAUGGCACAGUCAGAUGUGAAAUUCCCGGGCUUAACCUGGGGGCUGCAUUUGAUACGUGUGAUCUAGAGUGAGGAAGAGGGUCGUGGAAUUCCCAGUGUAGAGGUGAAAUUCGUAGAUAUUUGGGAAGAACACCGGUGGCGAAGGCGGCGACCUGGUCCUUGACUGACGCUGAGGCGCGAAAGCGUGGGGAGCAAACAGG